UAAAUACUCCCUCCGUCCGAAAAUACUUGUCAUCAAAAUGGAUAAAAAGAGAUGUAUCUAAAACUAAAAUACGUCUAGAUACAUUUCCUUUUAUCUAUUUUGAUGACAAGUAUUUCCGAACGGAGGGAGUAUUUG
rnacentral:pre_miRNA from 1 species